ACGAACGCUGGCGGCGUGCUUAACACAUUCAAGUCGAACGGAAAGGCCCUGCUUUUGUGGGGUGCUCGAGUGGCGAACGGGUGAGUAACACGUGAGUAACCUGCCCUUGACUUUGGGAUAACUUCAGGAAACUGGGGCUAAUACCGGAUAGGAGCUCCUGCUGCAUGGUGGGGGUUGGAAAGUUUCGGCGGUUGGGGAUGGACUCGCGGCUUAUCAGCUUGUUGGUGGGGUAGUGGCUUACCAAGGCUUUGACGGGUAGCCGGCCUGAGAGGGUGACCGGCCACAUUGGGACUGAGAUACGGCCCAGACUCCUACGGGAGGCAGCAGUGGAGAAUAAUGAACAAUGGGCGGAAGCCUGAUGCAGCAACGCCGCGUGCGGGAUGACGGCCUUCGGGUUGUAAACCGCUUUCGCCUGUGACGAAGCGUGAGUGACGGUAAUGGGUAAAGAAGCACCGGCUAACUACGUG
rnacentral:rRNA from 1 species